CGGAGGGAGCUAGCGUUGUUCGGAAUUACUGGGCGUAAAGCGCGCGUAGGCGGCUUUGUAAGUUAGAGGUGAAAGCCCGGGGCUCAACCCCGGAAUUGCCUUUAAGACUGCAUCGCUUGAAUCCGGGAGAGGUGAGUGGAAUUCCGAGUGUAGAGGUGAAAUUCGUAGAUAUUCGGAAGAACACCAGUGGCGAAGGCGGCUCACUGGACCGGCAUUGACGCUGAGGUGCGAAAGCGUGGGGAGCAAACAGG
rnacentral:rRNA from 1 species